AACGAACGCUGGCGGCAGGCUUAACACAUGCAAGUCGAACGCAUCCUUCGGGGUGAGUGGCAGACGGGUGAGUAACGCGUGGGAACGUGCCCUUCAGUUCGGGAUAACCCAGGGAAACUUGGGCUAAUACCGGAUACGUGCGAGAGCAGAAAGAUUUAUCGCUGAAGGAUCGGCCCGCGUCUGAUUAGCUAGUUGGUGGGGUAAUGGCCCACCAAGGCGACGAUCAGUAGCUGGUCUGAGAGGAUGAUCAGCCACAUUGGGACUGAGACACGGCCCAAACUCCUACGUGAGGCAGCAGUGGGGAAUAUUGGACAAUGGGCGCAAGCCUGAUCCAGCCAUGUCGCGUGAGUGAUGAAGGCCUUAGGGUUUUAAAGCUCUUUCGUCCGGGACGAUAAGGACGGUACCGGAAGAAGAAGCCCCGGCUAACUUCGUGCCAGCCGCCGCCGUAA
rnacentral:rRNA from 1 species